AUUUGACGCUGUAGGAAUUAUGCUUUUUUUUAACGACAAUAACGUAAAAUAGUGUGUAAAAUAACUACGACAUUGUGGUAACGUAAUAUGAAAGUCGUACAGUUCUGAAGUAUUCAGUGUUUGAUCAAAAAACUGUAAUCAUAUGUUCGAUGGUUUGCGAUCACUUUCGUGUGGCCAAAAAUAUGAAUAACACCUUUUAAAAAAUGCAGAUGGGUCUCUAUUUUUGCAAAUAUGCCAACAUUGUGGAUGUCAAAGAGAUGUUCCGUUGGUUAUAACUGACCAAGCCAUUAAACUUCAAUCAAAAGUAAAGUGCUUCCGGGCGGCAAACAGAACGUGACAGGUCUGCAUUGCAGUAGCAUCAUUAAAACACAAAAAUAAAUCAUAUUUCAGUUUCAUCUAUGCAACUGGACUUUCAGGGCAACAACAUAUUACAACUUUCAGACUAAUCAGCUAAUGCAGUGACCCAUUUGUGAGUGAAGUUAUUUGACUUGAUUCGGAGUCCACUUCUUCUGUGCUAUUAGAAAAUUGUGUGUCUUCCCAACUUUCUAAUGAUAUUGAGAACAAAACUGGGGGUACUAAUUGCCACAUCAGCAAAAAUGCACAUAAAAACACAAAUUGUGUACAUUAUGUAAGUACUAGUUUAUUUAGGAUUUCAUUAUGUGAAAACAUUUUUUUAUGAACUGUGAAAAGAUUUUCCUCCAACUAUCACAUUCACUGUUACAUCAUGAAUGUUGAAUAUAUCAUUGACCAAAAACUUUAGAGUUCUUAGAUAAUAGAAAUUGUUAAAAUUGAGUGUCAUCAAAAGUAGUCAGAUAUUUCUUUACUAAUAAUCUGCUGACUAGGGGGUGGAAGAUAUCAGUUAGUCAGUACUGUUCUUUAUUUUUGUAUUCCAUAGCUUUUUUCUCCCCCAUAUAUAUUAAAUUUGGAGAAAGUGUAGACUAUAUUGAAAAAUGUUCCUUCUUACAAAAUGCUUAUGAGCUAGGUACAUGUUUCUACAAAAGUAUACAGUGCUCAGUUUUGAAACAGGGUGAAAUAAACAUUUUUGUAUAAAUAUCUUUGUGGAUGUCUUAUAUCUGUUUUUCUGUGGCUUCAAAAGGAAGUCAUAGCCCUUAAAUCUUGUUCCACAUAGCCACUAUAGAAAGAGUAUGAUCCUUUUUUACUAGUCUCCAUGUAUGUAUGCCACACUGAGUACCAGCCUUUAUUUAUUUUUAACUCUUUGUCCCAUAGUUCACUUACAUGAAAGAGACCCAUAGUCUAAGCAAAAUACAUUUAUGCAACACAUGAAAUAAUAUCCACUUUGUAAUUCUGUAUCCAUGUUACACUUUCAAAAAUGUAUGACAUUAAUUUUAUAAAAUUAUUAACUUGAAAAAAGUUAAUAGCAGCAUGGUUGUAUUAUAACUGAAUUCUCUUGUCAAAACAUGUGCCUGAUUAUGAGUCACAUUGGGAAAACCUGAUAAAUCACACUUUCUCCACUCUGCUUUUACACUAGAAGACUGUAAAGAAUAAUAAUGACUUUAAAAAACUGUUAUUUUCAAUAUUCAGUAUCAAUUUGCAGUUGGGAAAAAAAAAACCAAAAUCAUAAUAUGCCAACACUACUUGAUUGAAAGGAUGUUCAGUGAGUUAAAUUUGUAAGUCAACAUUUUAUUGUGAUCAUUUAUUUACAUCAUCACGUAUUGAGGACAACAUAUUUUGCUGUACAGCCAAUGGGAGAGAAGGUUGUCAUACCAUGAAUGAGACUUUGAUUUCAACCACUGAAUGGAAAGACUAGAAUUGUAACUGUACAAAAUGAGAUUUACAUCAACAGAAAUUUGAUGUGUUUAUUACAAUAAAGUUUGGAGAAGAGUGUUGUAUAUGAAAUUAAAUAUUUUGUGAUAAUUUGUUUGUGAGAGACAAUAAGUAUAACAUAUUAUUCCAGAAAUUCCAUGUUUUUUUGUCUUGUGGUACAUAAAAGUUUAGUCUCAAGCAUAAUGUGUGCUGUAAAAUUUUAGUGAAAUAAAAACUUUGUAUUUUAAUAA